rnacentral:rRNA from 1 species
GGGGCCCGCACAAGCGGAGGAACAUGUGGUUUAAUUCGAUGAUACGCGAGGAACCUUACCUGGGCUUAAAUGUAGAGUGCAUUUUUUAGAGAUAGAAAUUCCCUUCGGGGCUUUCUGCAAGGUGCUGCAUGGUUGUCGUCAGCUCGUGCCGUGAGGUGUCGGGUUAAGUCCCAUAACGAGCGCAACCCUUAUCGUUAGUUGCCAGCUGGUAAAGCAGGGGACUCUAGCGAAACUGCCACCGUAAGGUGAGAGGAAGUGGGGAUGACGUCAAAUCAGCACGGCCCUUAUGUCCAGGGCUACACACGUGUUACAAUGGCCGGCACAGAGGGCAGCUACCUGGUGACAGGAUGCUAAUCUCGAAAACCGGUCUCAGUUCGGAUCGAAGUCUGCAACUCGACUUCGUGAAGCUGGAUUCGCUAGUAAUCGCGCAUCAGCCAUGGCGCGGUGAAUACGUUCCCGGGCCUU